GAUCAUGGCUCAGGACGAACGCUGGCGGCGUGCCUAACACAUGCAAGUCGAACGGACGAGGGGAGCUUGCUCCCCAAGUUAGUGGCGGACGGGUGAGUAACACGUGAGCAACCUGCCCCUCGGAGGGGGACAACAGCGGGAAACUGCUGCUAAUACCGCAUAAUGUAUUCUGGAGGCAUCUCCGGGAUACCAAAGAUUUUAUCGCCGAAAGGAUGGGCUCGCGUCUGAUUAGAUAGUUGGUGGGGCAACGGCCCACCAAGUCUGCGAUCAGUAGCCGGACUGAGAGGUUGAACGGCCACAGUUGGGACUGAGAUACCGGCCCAGACCUCCGUACGGGAGGCAGCAGGUGGGGAAUAGUUGGGCAAUGGGGGCAACCCUGACCCAGCAACGCCGCGUGGAGGAAGAAGGCUUUCGGGUUGUAAACUCCUUUGACGAGGGACGAUGAUGACGGUACCUCGAAAACAAGCCACGGCUAACUACGUGCCAGCAGCUGC
rnacentral:rRNA from 1 species